AGAGUUUGAUCAUGGCUCAGAACGAACGCUGGCGGCGUGCCUAACACAUGCAAGUCAAGGGGACCGCAAGGUAACCGGCGAACGGGUGCGUAACACGUGAGCAACCUGCCUGAGUGUGGGGGAUAGCCUGCCCAACGGCCGGGUAAUACCGCAUACGCUCAUUCUUUGGCAUCAUUGGAUGAGGAAACUUUCGAGGCACACAGAGGGGCUCGCGGCCUAUCAGCUUGUUGGUGGGGUAAUGGCCUACCAAGGCUACGACGGGUAGCUGGUCUGAGAGGAUGGCCAGCCACAUUGGGACUGAGAUACGGCCCAGACUCCUACGGGAGGCAGCAGUGGGGAAUAUUGCGCAAUGGGCGAAAGCCUGACGCAGCGACGCCGCGUGGGGGAUGAAGCAUUUCGGUGUGUAAACCCCCUGUUGCUCGGGACGAACAACUGGAUUCAUCCAGUCUGACGGUACCGGGUGAGGAAGCACCGGCUAACUCCGUG
rnacentral:rRNA from 1 species